GCUCGGGGGUCCCCUCCGCGGCUGCGCUCAGCCCGCGGUAGCCGCGCAUCUCAGCGGGACGGCGCAAAACCCGCCGCGUGGCUUUGUAACUCGUCUGCCGCUUCGUGACUGUCCCACCCAGGCCGAAUGGUGCUGCACCGAUAACAGUCUGCCGUGCGCUCAAGGAGGAAGACUGCUUUUCCUGUGCUCUUCAUGCCCUUGGAAAAAAUGGUAGACAGACUAAAACGCAGGGGUGAAGAACUUCAGAAAAGGAACUCGGGGGGUCACUCCUCCAGGAAAGCCACAAACCAACCAAGUUACUUUGGGGAACAGAGUACUCAGUGAAAAGAAAUGUCAUUCAUGAAACAAGAAAGUUACUGCAGUAUGAAAGGACCGGGAAUUUCUGACAAAAAAAAGGUUAAUAUGGUUUGAAUGAGACAAAUUCACUGCAGAUAACAAGCUGCUGAGCAGAGAUUUUAACGUCUCUCUUGUUUUUUAAAAAAAAUCCCAAAUCUUGGCAAAUUAAGGUACAGUACCAGCAAUGUACACACAGCUUGCAUGAGUAAAAUUGUGUCCAGGUUAGCAAAU
rnacentral:lncRNA from 1 species